GACGAACGCUGGCGGCGUGCUUAACACAUGCAAGUCGAACGGAAAGGCCCUGCUUUUGUGGGGUGCUCGAGUGGCGAACGGGUGAGUAACACGUGAGUAACCUGCCCUUGACUUUGGCAUAACUUCAGGAAACUGGGGCUAAUACCGGAUAGGAGCUCCUGCUGCAUGGUGGGGGUUGGAAAGUUUCGGCGGUUGGGGAUGGACUCGCGGCUUAUCAGCUUGUUGGUGGGGUAGUGGCUUACCAAGGCUUUGACGGGUAGCCGGCCUGAGAGGGUGACCGGCCACAUGGGGACUGAGAUACGGCCCAGACUCCUACGGGAGGCAGCAGUGGGGAAUAUUGCACAAUGGGCGGAAGCCUGAUGCAGCAACGCCGCGUGCGGGAUGACGGCCUUCGGGUUGUAAACCGCUUUCGCCUGUGACGAAGCGUGAGUGACGGUAAUGGGUAAAGAAGCACCGGCUAACUACGUG
rnacentral:rRNA from 1 species